AUAGAGAGAGAGAAAGAAAAGUGGAUGAAGGUAUAGAUAGAUAGAGAGAGAAAGAAAAGUGGAUGAAGGUAUAGAUAGAUAGAGAGAAAGAAAAGUGGAUGAAGGUAUAGAUAGAUAGAGAGAGAGAAAGAAAAGUGGAUGAAGGUAUAGAUAGAUAGAGAGAGAAAGAAAAGUGGAUGAAGGUAUAGAUAGAUAGAGAGAGAAAGAAAAGUGGAUGAAGGUAUAGAUAGAUAGAGAAAGAAAAGUGGAUGAAGGUAUAGAUAGAUAGAGAGAAAGAAAAGUGGAUGAAGGUAUAGAUAGAUAGAGAAAGAAAAGUGGAUGAAGGUAUAGAUAGAUAGAGAGAGAGAAAGAAAAGUGGAUGAAGGUAUAGAUAGAUAGAGAG